rnacentral:rRNA from 1 species
AAUUUUCGUGAACCCUUAAGUUAUAAUGAAUGACUCCAUAUUUAUAUGGAAGACACCAUGCUAGGAUUAGUAACAAGAAUUUAUAAUUCUCCAAAAUGCAAAUAUAAACCAACAUGGAUGGACCAUUGGUAGUUACCGAACCUAAAUUCAAUGCAAUAACACCUACAAGAAAACUCUGCAGUACUUACUCGUUAACCUAACACCAGCGCAUUACAGGAAAGAUUUAAAAAAAGAGAAGGAAUUCGGCAAAUGACGGCCCCGCCUGUUUACCAAAAACAUCGCCUCUUGACUUAUAAUAAGAGGUCCAGCCUGCCCAGUGAAUUUUAAACGGCCGCGACAUCCUAACCGCGCGAAGGUAGCAUAAUCACUUGUUCUUUAAAUGGGGACUCGUAUCAACGGCAUCACGAGGGUUUUACUGUCUCCUCUUUUUGAUCAGUGAAAUUGAUCUUCCCGUGAAGAAGCGGGAAUAAAUUUAUAAGACGAGAAGACCCCAUGGAGCUUUAAACCAAAUAACAACUUAACCACUUACUCCAUAAUAAAUUUAAGCCCUGUUAUAAGGUUUUUGGUUGGGGUGACCGCGGAGUAAAGCACAUCCUCCACGACGAAAAGAACAAAAUCUUUAUUUAAGAACCACACUUCUAAAAAUUAGUAUACUAACGUUUACUGACCCGACAAUCGAUCAACGGACCAAGUUACCCUGGGGAUAACAGCGCAAUCUACUUCAAGAGCCCAUAUCGACAAGUAGGCUUACGACCUCGAUGUUGGAUCAGGGUAUCCCGGUGGUGCAGCCGCUACCGAAGGUUCGUUUGUUCAACGAUUAAAACCCUACGUGAUCU